AACGAACGCUGGCGGCAGGCCUAACACAUGCAAGUCGAACGCGCGUAGCAAUACGCGAGUGGCGCACGGGUGAGUAACACGUGGGAAUCAACCCUGAGGUUCGGAAUAACCGCGGGAAACUGCGGCUAAUACCGGAUGUCCCCCAUGGGGGAAAGAUUUAUCGCCUUGGGACGAGCCCGCGUCCGAUUAGCUAGUUGGUGAGGUAACGGCUCACCAAGGCUACGAUCGGUAGCUGGUCUGAGAGGAUGACCAGCCACACUGGAACUGAGAUACGGUCCAGACUCCUACGGGAGGCAGCAGUGGGGAAUAUUGGGCAAUGGAGGCAACUCUGACCCAGCCAUGCCGCGUGGGUGACGAAGGUCUUCGGAUUGUAAAGCCCUUUCGGCGGAGACGAUGAUGACGGUAUCCGCAGAAGAAGCCCCGGCUAACUUCGUGCCAGCCGCCGCAGUAAG
rnacentral:rRNA from 1 species